UAGAAUAGUCAUGUGACUGUUGAAUUAGG
rnacentral:piRNA from 1 species